rnacentral:rRNA from 1 species
AUUGAACGCUGGCGGCAUGCCUUACACAUGCAAGUCGAACGGUAACAGGUCUUCGGAUGCUGACGAGUGGCGAACGGGUGAGUAAUACAUCGGAACGUGCCCGAUCGUGGGGAAUAACGAAGCGAAAGCUUUGCUAAUACCGCAUAAGAUCUACGGAUGAAAGCAGGGGACCGCAAGGCCUUGCGCGAACGGAGCGGCCGAUGGCAGAUUAGGUAGUUGGUGGGAUAAAAGCUUACCAAGCCGACGAUCUGUAGCUGGUCUGAGAGGACGACCAGCCACACUGGGACUGAGACACGGCCCAGACUCCUACGGGAGGCAGCAGUGGGGAAUUUUGGACAAUGGGCGAAAGCCUGAUCCAGCCAUGCCGCGUGCAGGAUGAAGGCCUUCGGGUUGUAAACUGCUUUUGUACGGAACGAAAAGACUCUGGUUAAUACCUGGGGUCCAUGACGGUACCGUAAGAAUAAGCACCGGCUAACUACGUGCCAGCCGCCGCAGUAAAAC